UCCUUUCUAAAGAAAAAAAGGAAAUAAUUCAACCCAAAACCCCCCAAGAACAAAAAGAGUCAAAACCCCUGAAACUCACUAGUCACUAUUGAACUUUGUGUAUUUUUGUGCUUAAACCCUACUAUUUUCUUCUUUCUCUCUCCUACUAUACAAUGUAUCGUGUAACAUCUUCAUUGAUCAGGUCUCAUGCUUCAAGACGACUGGUAAGCAGUAGGAUAAUAUCUAGUAGAAAUUAUGUUGCAAAAGAUAUCAGUUUUGGUGUCGAAGCUCGGAUGGCUAUGCUGCAAGGAGUUAAUGAGAUUGCGGAAGCUGUGAAGGUCACUAUGGGACCAAGGGGCCGCACUGUGGUUAUUGAAAGGAGUCAUAAAGAUCCUAAAGUUACAAAGGAUGGCGUAACAGUUGCCAAGAGCAUUAAGUUCAAUGAAAGGACAAAGAAUCUUGGUGCAGAGCUUGUAAAGCAGGUUGCGAAGGCCACAAAUACUGUUGCAGGAGAUGGAACCACUUGUGCUACUGUCUUGACUCAGUCAAUUUUAGUGGAAGGCUGCAAAUCCAUAGCUGCUGGUGUAAAUGCUAUGGAUCUGCGUACUGGGAUCAAUAUGGCAGUUGAUGCUGUGGUUUCCAACUUGAAAAGCAAAGCAAUGAUGAUAAGUACACCAGAGGAGAUCACUCAGGUGGCUACUAUCUCUGCUAAUGGGGAGCGUGAAAUUGGUAAACUCAUUGCCAGGGCAAUGGAGAAAGUUGGCGAGGAAGGUGUAAUCACUGUUUCUGAUGGAAACACAUUGGAUGAUGAAUUGGAGGUGGUGGAGGGGAUGAAGCUAGCCAGGGGUUAUAUUUCUCCUUAUUUCAUUACAGAUCAAAAGACCCAGAAAUGUGAACUUGAAAAUCCUUUGGUUCUCAUCCAUGAGAAGAAAGUUUCAGAUGUGGGAUCCCUUGUUAGAGUAUUGGAGUUGGCUCUUCAGAUGAAUAGACCUCUGCUAAUAGUUGCGGAAGAUAUUGAAGGUGAUGCUCUAUCACUGCUAAUACUGAACAAGCACCAAGCCGGGCUUAAGGUUUGUGCCAUAAAAGCUCCAGGGUUUGGAGAAAGCAGGAAAGCUAACUUAGAUGAUCUAGCUGUCUUUACAGGAGGAGAGGUUAUUGCAGAAGAGCGGGGGUUGACUCUCGACAAGAUCCAACCUGACAUGCUUGGUGUUGCGAAGAAGGUUACCAUCUCAAUGGAUGACACCAUUGUCCUAAAUGGAGGUGGAGACAAGAAGGUGAUAGAAGAGCGCUGUGAAGAGCUAAGAAUUUCCAUGGAGAGAAGUACUUCAACCUUUGACAAAGAGAAGGCACAGGAGCGGUUAUCAAAGCUCGCCGGUGGUGUUGCUGUCUUCAAGGUUGGAGGAGCCAGUGAAGCUGAAGUUAGUGAGAGAAAGGACAGGGUCAUAGACGCUCUGAAUGCAACUAGAGCUGCCGUAGAGGAGGGUAUUGUGCCCGGUGGUGGAGUUGCUCUCCUUCAUGCUUCAAAAGCUCUGGAGAAUAUCCAUACUAAGAAUGAAGACCAGAAAAGAGGGGUUCGAAUAGUCCAGAAUGCUCUCAAGGCACCUACAGUCACCAUUGUGUCAAAUGCUGGAGGUGAAGCUCCACUGGUGAUUGGCAAGUUGAUGGAACAAGACGAUCACAAUAUUGGCUAUGACGCAUCUAAAGGUGAAUAUGUGAACAUGGUAAAAGCAGGAAUAAUAGAUCCUGUUAAAGUUAUCAGAACAGCUUUGGUAGAUGCUGCAAGUGUUUCAUCUCUUCUCACCACAACUGAAGCCGUUAUUACCGAGCAUCCAGAACAAAGCAAAGCUGCACAACGUGUGCCAGACAUGGAUCAGAUGGACUUGUGAUGAUAGACAAUUUUUUGAUCUUUAGCACGGGCAUCUGAUUGAUAUAUUAUUGUACGCAUAGCUAUAUCUUUAUCAGGAGGACUAAGGUUACGUAUGAUCUUGGUGAUAUUGCUAACGCCGAAAAGCUUAUGCGCGUUAAGAAACUGUCGUUGACGAUCAUGAGGGAAAUAAGGAGCUAAAGCACAAUCUGAUGCACAUUUCCUACGUUGGUUGUUUGGAUGGUGUUUGCUGGGGAAUGGUGCUGAGAUUUCUGCUGCGUUGCCAACGGAUUUGCAACUUUUUUCUGAAUGAGUUUUUUAGGGAACUCUUCAUUUUUUUUGUAUCUUUUCCCUGAAUUUCUCCAUGAAUUAGAUGGAUGAGAAUGAGAGAAUAUGUGGAGGUGGGAGAUAAAUAAGCGGAAGAAGAGGAGGAGGAGAAUACAACUAUAUAAAACAGGUUAAUUGAGACUUGAACAACUAGAUCAAAAGUUUGUUAGUUGUUAUAGACUUUUUAAUUAGUUUCUAUAUUUAUACUAUUGAGGUGUCAUUUUAUUGGAAAUUUAAUACCAAUUCUACAGUUUUAAGGUCUUUA